GGGGAAUAUUGCACAAUGGGCGAAAGCCUGAUGCAGCAACGCCGCGUGAGGGAUGACGGCCUUCGGGUUGUAAACCUCUUUUAGUAGGGAAGAAGCGAAAGUGACGGUACCUGCAGAAAAAGCACCGGCUAACUACGUGCCAGCAGCCGCGGUAAUACGUAGGGUGCAAGCGUUGUCCGGAAUUAUUGGGCGUAAAGAGCUCGUAGGCGGUUUGUCGCGUCUGCUGUGAAAUCCCGAGGCUCAACCUCGGGUCUGCAGUGGGUACGGGCAGACUAGAGUGCGGUAGGGGAGAUUGGAAUUCCUGGUGUAGCGGUGGAAUGCGCAGAUAUCAGGAGGAACACCGAUGGCGAAGGCAGAUCUCUGGGCCGUAACUGACGCUGAGGAGCGAAAGCAUGGGGAGCGAAC
rnacentral:rRNA from 1 species